GUUGAGGAGUAUCUCUGAAUUACUCUCUCAAAGCAUCAAAAAAAUGUUGGUAACCUUGUUGGUAAUAUUGCUGGCUUCCGCGUUGGAAGCUAAGCCCCAAUUUCCAACGGUAGUGCUGCUGGAAACCAAGCCUGUUCAGGAUAUACUCGAUGUUUUCGUAACAGGAUCUUUUCCUACAAAAUCUAUUGACGUGAAGAAAUCGAACCCUGCCUCACCUCCUAAACCAUUGCUAAUUGUUUCACCAAUUACUGAUGGCACAUACCCUGUUUUCAUGUUUCUACAUGGAACCUGCCUGGAAAACUAUUUCUACAGUAACCUCCUUCCACAUAUUGCUUCUCAUGGAUUUAUAGUUGUCGCUCCUCAGGUAUAUUCUUGUAUAAAUUGGUUGAUACCCAAACUGCCUAUAAGGGAGUCGAAAGAGAUUGAGUUCGCAGCAGAAGUGGGAAACUGGUUACUUUCAGGCCUACAAUCUGUGCUACCCGAAAAAGUUACUUGGGACCAAGACAAGCUUGCUCUUGGAGGCCACAAUAGAGGUGGAAACAUAGCAUUUGCACUCGCACUUGGAUAUUCUAAGACGCCCCUAGAAGUGAAAAUCUCAGCACUAGUAGGUCUAGACCCUGUUGGAAGGGUUAGUACUGAUCCCAAAAUUCUCACGAAUGUCCCUCAUUCUUUUAACUUAUCGAUUCCGGUCACCGUUAUCGGUACCGGGUUGGGUAAUGAAUCGGUAUGCGGGGUGGUAGGUCUUGCUUGUGCUCCAAAUUAUAUGAACCAUGUGAAGUUUUACAAUAAGUGCAAAGCUCCUGCUAGUCAUUUUGUGACUACAGAUUAUGGUCACAUGGACAUGUUAGAUGAUAAUCCAACUGGUAUAUUGGCGAUUAUAGCAAAUUCUAUAUGCAAGAAUAGCAAGGAUCCUAGGGAUCAGAUGAGGAGGACUGUUGGUGGCCUUAUUGUGGCAUUUUUGAAGGCUUAUUUCCAAGCUGACAGUGGAGACUUCAUGACCAUUUUGAACGAACCUUCUGUUGCUCCUGCAAAGCUGGAUCCUGUCCAAUUUAAGGAAGAACAAAAUCACGCUCAAGUUUAACGCCUAAAUGUAUUUUGGAGGGGAAAAUUCUAGUUUAAACUGGGUUCAUCUGGAACCCAAUAUAUAAUCAUAUGGGAUAGAUCUCACCAUGUAUUUUGUCUUUUGGGUGCAUCGUAAACCGAGUUUUGGUAGAAUAAU
rnacentral:misc_RNA from 1 species